rnacentral:tRNA from 1 species
CCGUCACGGCUCGCCUGGUUGACGAGACCUGCCUGAUAAGCAGGCGAUGCGUGGUUCGAUUCCACGGUGACGGA